rnacentral:lncRNA from 1 species
CAAACACAUCUUGACAGAAUCGUUACACGGCAAGUUACAUACAAGGCGUAUUCACCGCAUGCGUGUUUCGCGUUAGAAACUUAGAAUCACUCAUACAGUUUUAUGUCGUGGAACAAGAAGUUUUGAGUUUGAGAAACUUAAUUGUGGCCGGAGCCGUCAAGGGAGAGGCAAAAGAGUCGUCUGGUUCAAAUCCAACUCCCAGAUUCCAAAUUCGGUAGUCCUCAUGCAUGUAUUAAUUUCCAUAUUGACCGUGAGUACAAAUCGAUGUACAAAUGCAUGCUCUUGGGCGUUUGGCAAAUGGCAAACAACAUGGAUUCUGUAAAUCUGUGAUGCAGUUUGCGACCUCUGUUAUAUUAUGAGCACAGUGCACUCGAGGAUCGAGCGCUAGAACACGGAGCCGAUCCACGUCAUCGUUCCAGCGGCACGAAACACGAGCGACCCUGGGGUUGGGAACGUCGACGGGGCGGGAGCGCGCCGCGGCGGGCGCCUCGGAUGGCUGCACCUGC